rnacentral:rRNA from 1 species
UUGACCUCGGAUCAGGUAGGGAUACCCAGUCU